rnacentral:ncRNA from 1 species
UGACAAGCUUAUGGUUACAUUUUAAAACAAUGUAUUAAAAGGGAAUAUGGUUAAAACCCAUAACAGCCCCCGCUACUGUAAAAAGGACGAAAGCUUAGAAUUUAGUCACUGAGGUGUCUCGGGAAGACUUAAGCGAGUAGGAUGAUUUUGAGUCAGGAGACCUGCCCUAUGCUUUAA